CCUCCUCCCAUUUCACUUCCCUUUAUUGAAUGGGGGCUCUGUUGUUUCAUCGUCCGCAAUGCGUUCAAAGGACAACGGACCCUAUACGGAUUGAUCAUGACUCCACAGCCAAAGUUCUGUGGUUUGCAUGCCCUGCCGAAGAAGGACCUUAUCUAGUAUGCAGAAUAGAUGCUUGGAGUGUGUCGGUCCCCAAGUCUGCACCAGUAAUGCUAGCGUUUGGUGUGCAACAACCGUUUAUGGGGAGUAUAACCUGAGAAACUGGGAUAUACCUCUGGACAAUGACCCAACACACCUCCAGGCUGUGUAAAGACUGUUUGACCAAGAGGGAGAUGGAGUGCUGCAUCAGAUGGGGCGUUAGCAAAGACCUUGCCUCACCUCUUGCCUGCUCACCAACGGUCGUUGAUUGGGAGACCAGAAUUGGAUGCAUUUAUGGAGCCAGCACUUGGAGACUUGCAAGAUGGUGUCCGGAGUGACAGGCUUGAUACUAAAGUCUCUAAAUGGAGAGACCUUUCAUUUUUACUAGACAACAUUUACUUGUAUUGUCUUUUUUUGUUAUUGAAUUGUAUAGGUCAAUAUGGGGAGGGAGAAACCCUGUGUAUUCACGAGGAUCAGGGAAUUUAUUUCUUAUACAGUGAGCACCAUAAUUCAUUGGACAGUGACCAUUUUUUGUUAUUUUGGUUCUGUACUCUAGCACUUUGAGUUUGAAAGGAUACAAUGACAAUGAGGGUGAAGUCCAAACUGUCAGCUGUAAUUUGAGGGUAUUUUCAUACAAAUCGGAUGAACCUUUUAGAAAUGACAGCACCUUUUGUACAUGGUCCCCCCAUUUUAAGGUACGACAAGUAUUUGUUGAAUUUGCUUCACAGAUGUGUGUCGUUAGGCAGGUAUAUUAAUUUGUGUCGUUAGUGAAUGCAGGAGAGCUGUUGAUGAAUAGUAUUGAUUCUAGACUUUGCUAUUGCCUUGGGAGGUUGGGACACCACACAGGAAGGUAUGACCACUCUGACAUGUUUGCCAAGGUACAUGUAGCCUCAUUACCACCAGACAAAAUGCAGAUAAUCAUAGUAUCGGCUGAGAAUGACAAUACAAAGUGUUAUAUUAGCAGAA